GGAUGGGAGGUCAGUGUAGUUAAGACGUUUCACCCUAGUGCUCACCAGGGUUGAGUUGGCUGUUCUGGAUGACUAUCAGAAUGUCCCCUUCCUCUCUCAUUAUGCCUUGAAAGUCCCAUCCACCCUUCUUGGUUCUCUGUCAAAUAAGAGGAUCCCAAAUGGACAAGGACAUGCUGGUCAAGAGUGACUCAUUAGCUUUCCUCCCCUGCUCAGCCCCCUCAACAAGCUCUCAAGCCCUGACACGUAAUAGGUUCUCAUCAAAUAUUUGUUGACUACAUGAAUGAGCCCAUGAUGUGCAUCUUUGGUCUCUU
rnacentral:sRNA from 1 species